rnacentral:rRNA from 1 species
UACCUGCAGCUCAAGUGGUGACCGCUAUUAUUGGGCCUAAAACGUUCGUAGCCGGCUGAGUAAAUGCUUGGGUAAAUCGUGCCGCUUAACGGUACGAAUUCCGGGUAGACUGCUCAGCUUGAGACCGGGAGAAGCUAGAGGUACUCCUGGGGUAGAGGUGAAAUUCUGUAAUCCUGGGGGGACCACCAGUGGCGAAGGCGUCUAGCUAGAACGGGUCUGACGGUGGGGGACGAAACCCUGGGGCGCAAACCGGAUUAGAUACCCGGGUAGUCCAGGGCGCAAACGCUGCUUGCUUGAUGUUAGCUGGGCUCCGAGCUCAGCUAGUGUCGGAGAGAAGUUGUUAAGCAAGCUGCCUGGGAAGUACGAUCGCAAGAUUAGAAACUUAAAGGAAUUGGCGGGGGAGCACAGCAACGGGUGGAGCGUGCGGUUU